AGCGAACAGAUGAAGUGCUUGCACUUCUGACGUUAGCGGCGAACGGGUGAGUAACACGUAAGGAAUCUACCUAUAAGCGGGGGAUAACAUUCGGAAACGGGUGCUAAUACCGCAUAAUAUCUUCUUCCGCAUGGAAGAAGAUUGAAAGACGGCUCUGCUGUCACUUAUAGAUGACCUUGCGGUGCAUUAGUUAGUUGGUGGGGUAACGGCCUACCAAGACGAUGAUGCAUAGCCGACCUGAGAGGGUGAUCGGCCACAUUGGGACUGAGACACGGCCCAAACUCCUACGGGAGGCAGCAGUAGGGAAUCUUCCGCAAUGGGCGAAAGCCUGACGGAGCAAUGCCGCGUGAGUGAAGAAGGCCUUCGGGUCGUAAAACUCUGUUAUAAGAGAAGAACAAAUUGUAGAGUAACUGCUACAGUCUUGACGGUAUCUUAUCAGAAAGCCACGGCUAACUACGUGCCAGCAGCCGCGGUAAUACGUAGGUGGCAAGCGUUGUCCGGAUUUAUUGGGCGUAAAGGGAGCGCAGGUGGUUUCUUAAGUCUGAUGUGAAAGCCCACGGCUUAACCGUGGAGGGUCAUUGGAAACUGGGAAACUUGAGUACAGAAGAGGAAUGUGGAACUCCAUGUGUAGCGGUGGAAUGCGUAGAUAUAUGGAAGAACACCAGUGGCGAAGGCGACAUUCUGGUCUGUUACU
rnacentral:rRNA from 1 species